GCCUGGCUGGCUCUGUCUGUAGAGCACGUGACUCUUGAUCUGGAGAUUGUGAGUUCGAGUCCCAUGUUAGGUG
rnacentral:tRNA from 1 species